UGCUCUUGGAGCAUAAGCAAUCCAGGUACCAACAGUGGUCAACUGAGCAGCUGGGAAAGAAACCUUCACCAAAGGACAGCAGUUCAGAUGAUGGAACCUCUGAUCCUUGCAGUCCAGCUCCUGUAAUCCCAGAAGAAAACCCUAAGGAUGCCAAGGCCACCAGCUUCCUAGUCACCUCUGUCAACACCCAGCCCCACUGUCAAAGUUGUAAACCUUUAUACUCCCCUGAAUGAAUCUGAAGAACAGAUUAAAACGGCCUUUAUAUGAAUGAUCCAAGCACAACUACAAGAGCUGAAUGAGUCUCAGCAACUGCUUAGAGGCUUCAAGCACAAGUUGCCUUUUUUUCUUUCCAUUUAAUUCAUCUUCUGACCAUGAAUUCAAUCCGCAUCCAAGCUUGUCUCAAUCUGGAGUUUCUUAAAGU
rnacentral:lncRNA from 1 species